AUUGAACGCUGGCGGCAGGCCUAACACAUGCAAGUCGAGCGGAUGAAGGGAGCUUGCUCCUGGAUUCAGCGGCGGACGGGUGAGUAGUGCCUAGGAAUCUGCCUGGUAGUGGGGGAUAACGUCCGGAAACGGGCGCUAAUACCGCAUACGUCCUGAGGGAGAAAGUGGGGGAUCUUCGGACCCCACGCUAUCAGAUGAGCCUAGGUCGGAUUAGCUAGUUGGUGGGGUAAAGGCCUACCAAGGCGACGAUCCGUAACUGGUCUGAGAGGAUGAUCAGUCACACUGGAACUGAGACACGGUCCAGACUCCUACGGGAGGCAGCAGUGGGGAAUAUUGGACAAUGGGCGAAAGCCUGAUCCAGCCAUGCCGCGUGUGUGAAGAAGGUCUUCGGAUUGUAAAGCACUUUAAGUUGGGAGGAAGGGCAGUAAGUUAAUACCUUGCUGUUUUGACGUUACCAACAGAAUAAGCACCGGCUAACUUCGUG
rnacentral:rRNA from 1 species